CUUGUACCUGGUGGCGAGCGGCGGACGGGUGAGUAAUGCCUAGGAAUCUGCCUGGUAGUGGGGGAUAACGUUCGGAAACGGACGCUAAUACCGCAUACGUCCUACGGGAGAAAGCAGGGGACCUUCGGGCCUUGCGCUAUCAGAUGAGCCUAGGUCGGAUUAGCUAGUUGGUGAGGUAAUGGCUCACCAAGGCUACGAUCCGUAACUGGUCUGAGAGGAUGAUCAGUCACACUGGAACUGAGACACGGUCCAGACUCCUACGGGAGGCAGCAGUGGGGAAUAUUGGACAAUGGGCGAAAGCCUGAUCCAGCCAUGCCGCGUGUGUGAAGAAGGUCUUCGGAUUGUAAAGCACUUUAAGUUGGGAGGAAGGGCAGUUACCUAAUACGUGAUUGUUUUGACGUUACCGACAGAAUAAGCACCGGCUAACUCUGUGCCAGCAGCCGCGGUAAUACAGAGGGUGCAAGCGUUAAUCGGAAUUACUGGGCGUAAAGCGCGCGUAGGUGGUUUGUUAAGUUGAAUGUGAAAUCCCCGGGCUCAACCUGGGAACUGCAUCCAAAACUGGCAAGCUAGAGUAUGGUAGAGGGUGGUGGAAUUUCCUGUGUAGCGGUGAAAUGCGUAGAUAUAGGAAGGAACACCAGUGGCGAAGGCGACCACCUGGACUGAUACUGACACUGAGGUGCGAAAGCGUGGGGAGCAAAC
rnacentral:rRNA from 1 species